UGCCAGCAGCCGCGGUAAUACGAAGGGCCCGAGCGUUGCGCGGAAUCACUGGGCUUAAAGCGUACGUAGGCGGACGCGCAGGCGUUUUGUGAAAGCCCUCGGCUCAACCGAGGAAUUGCUUGACGAACCGCGCGUCUUGAGGCAAGUAGGGGCUGUCGGAACGAUAGGUGGAGUGGUGAAAUGCGUUGAUAUCUAGCGGAACGCCAAAGGAGAAAUCAGGCAGCUGGGCCUGUUCUGACGCUGAGGUACGAAAGCGUGGGGAGCGAACGGGAUUAGAUA
rnacentral:rRNA from 1 species